rnacentral:rRNA from 1 species
GACGAACGCUGGCGGCGUGCUUAACACAUGCAAGUCGAACGGAAAGGCCCUGCUUUUGUGGGGUGCUCGAGUGGCGAACGGGUGAGUAACACGUGAGUAACCUGCCCUUGACUUUGGGAUAACUUCAGGAAACUGGGGCUAAUACCGGAUAGGAGCUCCUGCUGCAUGGUGGGGGUUGGAAAGUUUCGGCGGUUGGGGAUGGACUCGCGGCUUAUCAGCUUGUUGGUGGGGUAGUGGCUUACGAAGGCUUUGACGGGUAGCCGGCCUGAGAGGGUGACCGGCCACAUUGGGACUGAGAUAGGGCCCAGACUCCUACGGGAGGCAGCAGUGGGGAGUAUUGCACAACGGGCGGAAGCCUGAUGCAGCAACGCCGCGUGCGGGAUGACGGCCUUCGGGUUGUAAACCGCUUUCGCCUGUGACGAAGCGGGAGUGACGGUAAUGGGUAAAGAAGCACCGGCUAACUACGUG